GCUUACGGCCAUACCUCUCUGGCUCCGCCUGAUCUCGUCUGAUCUCAGAAGCUAAGCAGAGUAGGGCCUGGUUAGUACUUGGAUGGAAGACCGCCUAAGAAUCCCAGGUGCCGUAAGCU
ensembl:rRNA 5S_rRNA 5S ribosomal RNA